GACGAACCGUGCGAACGUUGUUCGGAAUCACUGGGCUUAAAGGGCGCGUAGGCGGGCCGCCAAGUCAGGGGUGAAAGCCUCCAGCUCAACUGGAGAAGUGCCUCUGAUACUGGCGGCCUCGAGGGAGAUAGGGGCGUGCGGAACUUCCGGUGGAGCGGUGAAAUGCGUAGAUAUCGGAAGGAACACCGGUGGCGAAAGCGGCGCGCUGGAUCUCUUCUGACGCUGAGGCGCGAAAGCCAGGGGAGCAAACGGG
rnacentral:rRNA from 1 species